UGGAACGACUACGUGAGUGUGGAUGCGUGUAAGGGACCUAGAACACUGCCUGGCACGUGUGAAGGAAGGACUCAGUACACAUUUACUGCUGCUGCUCACACCUUAUUAUCACAUGAUCGUCUCUGAAGCAUACUUUCUCUACUGGAGUGGAGAAUAUGACUAGCAGUUGAGAUUCAAAUACUAGCAUCCUUCCUGGUUUGCCCAAUGUAAACUCUGGCUUAUAACAGGUAAGUUUGAGGACUGAUGGUUUUUUACAAGCUAGCACUUACCCCAGCUUUUUAGACAUACAGUACCUACUCCUUGAAUCCACGUGNNNNNNNNNNNNUCAUCUGCCUUACUUAUAUAAGAACUUAAGGAGGUAAAUAUUUGGGCCAAUUUGCUUAAUCAAAUGAAUUUCCAGAAAAAUAGGAAUGUCAAACAGUGAGCAGGAUUUAAAAUAGCAAUUUUAAAACCAUUAACUCAAUACUCUUCCUAUGUAAACCAUCACAAUAUUACUUAUCAUACUUUUUUCUCUGCCUUAUCAAUUUUAAUCCAUAUUUUUCUCCCCAUUUUCUUAAAUUUUCUCAUUCUCUGCAUUUUUAUAUCUCACCAUCCAUAGUUUUGUGUCUUAGGUAGUCUAGGAUUUAUAGUAAAAGAACCAAAUUCACAUGCAGAUAAGAUUCUGCUGACUGAUCAUGCUCAUAAAGAAAUACACUAAAGGUUUAAUCGCCAAGUGUAGCUCAAACUUUAGAGCAUCAGGGAUCACAAAGAAAGGAGUUCCAAUCUUUUAUUUGAAAGUUGAGGAGUCAGGAUAAGAUGACACCAAAUCUGCCUGUCUGAUCCGAAAGACCCGGGGACUUUCUUCUAAUUCAUCUCACCUGCUUGCUCCCUUUUGUUCCUCAGGGACAGAGGACAGCAUUUACCCACCACAAGUUCUGAUUAUUACAAGUUAAUUUUAUUGAAUGCCACAAUCUAUGUCCUGCUGGUUGCACACGAGGGAUAUCAGAUUGGGAUAAGGAUAAAUUCUACAUUGAUUGAGUCAUCAUUCUGUGU
rnacentral:lncRNA from 1 species